rnacentral:rRNA from 1 species
AGCAGUCGCCACGGUAACACGUAGGUGGCAAGCGUUGUCCGGAAUUAUUGGGCGUAAAGGGCUCGCAGGCGGUUUCUUAAGUCUGAUGUGAAAGCCCCCGGCUCAACCGGGGAGGGUCAUUGGAAACUGGGAAACUUGAGUGCAGAAGAGGAGAGUGGAAUUCCACGUGUAGCGGUGAAAUGCGUAGAGAUGUGGAGGAACACCAGUGGCGAAGGCGACUCUCUGGUCUGUAACUGACGCUGAGGAGCGAAAGCGUGGGGAGCGAACAGGAUUAGAUACCCGAGUAGUCCCUGUCUCUUAUAC